rnacentral:rRNA from 1 species
GAUCCUGGCUCAGAUUGAACGCUGGCGGCAGGCCUAACACAUGCAAGUCGAACGGUAACAGGAAGCAGCUUGCUGCUUUGCUGACGAGUGGCGGACGGGUGAGUAAUGUCUGGGAAACUGCCUGAUGGAGGGGGAUAACUACUGGAAACGGUAGCUAAUACCGCAUAACGUCGCAAGACCAAAGAGGGGGGACCUUCGGGCCUCUUGCCAUCGGAUGUGCCCAGAUGGGAUUAGCUAGUUAGGG